UCAAUAAGCGGAGGAAAAGAAACCAACAGGGAUUGCCUCAGUAACGGCGAGUGAAGCGGCAACAGCUCAAAUUUGAAAUCUGGCUCCUUCGGGGUCCGAGUUGUAAUUUGCAGAGGAUGCGUCGGGUACGGGUCCCUACCGAGUUCCCUGGAACGGGACGCCAUAGAGGGUGAGAGCCCCGUCUGGUAGGAUACCCAGCCCAUGUGACGCUCCCUCGACGAGUCGAGUAGUUUGGGAAUGCUGCUCUAACGGGAGGUAUACUCCUUCCAAAGCUAAAUACCGGCUGGAGACCGAUAGCGCACAAGUAGAGUGAUCGAAAGAUGAAAAGCACUUUGAAAAGAGAGUCAAACAGCACGUGAAAUUGUUAAAAGGGAAGCACUCGCUACCAGACUUGGGUUUGGCGGUUCAACCGGGGCCACGCCCCGGGGCAUUCCGCCAGCUCAGGCCAGCAUCAGCUUUCCGUCGGGGGCAAAGACGUCGGGAAUGUGGCUCCCCCUCGGGGGAGUGUUAUAGCCCGGCGUGUCAUACCCUUCGGGGGGCUGAGGUACGCGCUUCUGCAAGGAUGC
rnacentral:rRNA from 1 species